rnacentral:rRNA from 1 species
UACGAAGGGUGCAAGCGUUAAUCGGAAUUACUGGGCGUAAAGCGCGCGUAGGUGGUUCAGCAAGUUGGAUGUGAAAGCCCAUGGCUCAACCAUGGACGUGCAUUUGAAACUGGCAGACUUGAGUAUUGGAGGGGUGGUGGAAUUCCCGGUGUAGAGGUGAAAUUCGUAGAGAUGUGGAGGAACACCAAUGGCGAAGGCAGCCCCUCGG